ensembl:misc_RNA
CAGAAAGCAGUGGAGACAAAGAGCUGCUAUUAACCUACAGAUGCUACUGCAGGGUUCAUUUUGAGAUUGGUCACACUGCUUAGCCAAUGAAGUGCUAGUGUAACUAUAAGGGACCACCCUUUUUGGGGUGAGAGGGCAAUUCGGUCUUCAUGCUCAUUUAAUCCUGAGAUGUC